AUGUAGAAUUUGAGUGCUUGCAUAUAUAUUAAAAUUGGAAUGAUACAGAGAAGAUUAGCAUGGCCCCUACACAAGGAUACCAUGCAGAGUCAUGAAGUAUUCCACAUCCUC
rnacentral:snRNA from 3 species